rnacentral:rRNA from 1 species
CAUGCAAGUCGAGGGGAAACGACAUCGAAAGCUUGCUUUUGAUGGGCGUCGACCGGCGCACGGGUGAGUAACGCGUAUCCAACCUGCCCACCACUUGGGGAUAACCUUGCGAAAGUAAGACUAAUACCCAAUGACGUCUCUAGAAGACAUCUGAAGGAGAUUAAAGAUUUAUCGGUGAUGGAUGGGGAUGCGUCUGAUUAGCUUGUUGGCGGGGUAACGGCCCACCAAGGCGACGAUCAGUAGGGGUUCUGAGAGGAAGGUCCCCCACAUUGGAACUGAGACACGGUCCAAACUCCUACGGGAGGCAGCAGUGAGGAAUAUUGGUCAAUGGACGAGAGUCUGAACCAGCCAAGUAGCGUGCAGGAUGACGGCCCUAUGGGUUGUAAACUGCUUUUAUAAGGGAAUAAAGUGAGUCUCGUGAGACUUUUUGCAUGUACCUUAUGAAUAAGGACCGGCUAAUUCCGUGCCAGCAGCCGCGGUAAUACGGAAGGUCCGGGCGUUAUCCGGAUUUAUUGGGUUUAAAGGGAGCGUAGGCCGGAGAUUAAGCGUGUUGUGAAAUGUAGAUGCUCAACGUCUGCACUGCAGCGCGAACUGGUUUCCUUGAGUACGCACAAAGUGGGCGGAAUUCGUGGUGUAGCGGUGAAAUGCCUAGAUAUCACGAAGAACUCCGAUUGCGAAGGCAGCUCACUGGAGCGCAACUGACGCUGAAGCUCGAAAGUGCGGGUAUCGAACAGGAUUAGAUACCCUGGUAGUCCGCACGGUAAACGAUGGAUGCCCGCUGUUGGUCUGAAUAGGUCAGCGG